rnacentral:rRNA from 1 species
GUAGGUGGCAAGCGUUGUCCGGAAUUAUUGGGCGUAAAGCGCGCGCAGGCGGUUCUUUAAGUCUGAUGUGAAAGCCCACGGCUCAACCGUGGAGGGUCAUUGGAAACUGGAGAACUUGAGUACAGAAGAGGAAAGCGGAAUUCCACGUGUAGCGGUGAAAUGCGUAGAGAUGUGGAGGAACACCAGUGGCGAAGGCGGCUUUACUGGUCUGUAACUGACGCUGAGGCGCGAAAGCGUGGGGAGCAAACAGGGAUUAGAUACCCCUGGUAGUCCACGCCGUAAACGAUGAGUGCUAAGUGUUAGGGGGUUUCCGCCCCCUUAGUGCUGCAGCUAACGCAUUAAGCACUCCGCCUGGGGAGUACGGCCGCAAGGCUG